GCAAUACUUAGUGGCAGACGGGUGAGUAACAUGUGGGUAUCUGCCCUUUGGCCUGGAAUAACACGAGGAAACUUGUGCUAAUACCGGAUAAGUCUUUACGGAGAAAGCUUUAUGCACCAUUGGAUGAGCCCGCACUUGAUUAGUUUGUUGGUGGGGUAAUGGCCUACCAAGACUUUGAUCAAUAGCUGAUUUGAGAGGAUGAUCAGCCACAUUGGGACUGAGACACGGCCCAAACUCCUACGGGAGGCAGCAGUGGGGAAUCUUGCACAAUGGAGGAAACUCUGAUGCAGCGAUGCCGCGUGAGUGAAGAAGGCCUUUGGGUUGUAAAGCUCUUUCGUCGGGGAAGAAAAUGACUGUACCCGAAUAAGAAGGUCCGGCUAACUUCGUGCCAGCAGCCGCGGUAAUACGAAGGGACCUAGCGUAGUUCGGAAUUACUGGGCUUAAAGAGUUCGUAGGUGGUUGAAAAAGUUGGUGGUGAAAUCCCAGAGCUUAACUCUGGAACUGCCAUCAAAACUUUUCAGCUAGAGUAUGAUAGAGGAAAGCAGAAUUUCUAGUGUAGAGGUGAAAUUCGUAGAUAUUAGAAAGAACACCAAAUGCGAAGGCAACUUACUGGGUCACUACUGACACUGAGGAGCGAAAGCAUGGGUAG
rnacentral:rRNA from 1 species